CCAGCCAAUCAGCGGCCGUCGGAGACUCGCGAGCGGUGAUAAUAUCCGCGGACCAGAGCUGCGGGCAAAGGAGGAACAAAGAAGAAGAAAAAAAAGCCGCUGCCCGCUUCGCGUGUGAAAAAACAACAACAACGCGGACACAGUUACACUUAUUUUGUGUGUGUGUGUGUGUGUCGCUUUACCGUAAGCACGAGCCGUUCACCGGGUGAGUGACACUCUUCCCCGGUCCUGUUUUUUUUUUGUUUUUUUUUAAGGGGUGAGGAUAAAGGAAACUUAACGUCGUGAGAGAGAGGUUUUUUUUUUUGGGAGGGGGUUUCAGGUCGCUCCUUUCUCUCUCUCUCUCCUCAAAAACCCGUUUCCCUUUCGGAUGUAACGUUCCGGAAGUUGAACCGGAGCCCCGUUGGCGUGGCCGCGAUGCUCUGUUCUCAACGCGCCUGCACUCGGAUGGAUUAAGAGAAGUGUGGUUUUCCCCCCCCCCCCGCCCCUCCC